rnacentral:rRNA from 1 species
CCUACGGGAGGCAGCAGUGGGGAAUAUUGGACAAUGGGCGAAAGCCUGAUCCAGCCAUGCCGCGUGUGUGAAGAAGGCCUUCGGGUUGUAAAGCACUUUCAGUGGGGAAGAAAGCCUUGGGGCUAAUACCCUCGAGGAAGGACAUCACCCACAGAAGAAGCACCGGCUAACUCCGUGCCAGCAGCCGCGGUAAUACGGAGGGUGCGAGCGUUAAUCGGAAUUACUGGGCGUAAAGCGCGCGUAGGCGGUCUGAUAAGCCGGUUGUGAAAGCCCCGGGCUCAACCUGGGAACGGCAUCCGGAACUGUCAGGCUAGAGUGCAGGAGAGGAAGGUAGAAUUCCCGGUGUAGCGGUGAAAUGCGUAGAGAUCGGGAGGAAUACCAGUGGCGAAGGCGGCCUUCUGGACUGACACUGACGCUGAGGUGCGAAAGCGUGGGUAGCAAACAGGAUUAGAUCCCCUGGUAGUC